rnacentral:tRNA from 1 species
AGGGGUAUAGCCAAGCGGUUAAGGCACUGGUUUUUGAUACCAGCAUGCGAAGGUUCGAAUCCUUCUACCCCUACCA